rnacentral:lncRNA from 1 species
AGAGCUGUCCUUUGUCCCCACUGUUUCCAUGGUCUAAGCAACAAGGUUGAAAUGUGCAAAAUGUGAUUUGUGCUCUGUUGGCUAAAGACAGCAGGUGUGUUGGUCAACAAGGGUGGAAAAGGAGGAAAGUGGUGGGCUCCAGGUGCAGAGAGGGGACCCAAGAAGGUCUAGAAAUGGCAGAGAGGAAGCAUCCACCACCCGGCGUGCACAUCACACAAAGACGGUUCUGCUUCCCUCGCCUGUUUAAUAUGAAACUCAGUGAGAAUUGAUGAAGUCAUUUUUUAAGCCAUAAAGCACUGCAAACACAUUUGUAUUAUUUUUCUUCUGUGCCAUGGGUAGUUUUUUUUUUUCAAUUCUCAGAUGUUUAGCAAACACGGGCUAUCUUCCAAAAAAUGUAAUUUUGUGGAUGGAUACAUUUAAAAAUGGUAUGCUUUGGUCAAGUCGGUAAUGUCUAUUUUUCUUUAUUGAUGACUUCUCGUUUCAGUGGGUCACUGACAAGAAAAUUCACCUGGAGGCCAAAUUGUCUCUAAUAACAAGUCCAAGACAUGCAUUCCAGCUGGAAUCCUCUUCCCGGAUGGUUGUGUGUUUUUAAUUGCAGUAGCCAUCUCCAAAAAUGCCAUCCAGUAACCAUGCCCUUGUGUGCUGCCCUUUCCAUGAAUCUGAGCUAGCCCCAUAAUUAGCUUUUGGCCAUUGGAUGGUGGUGGAAGUGAUGCUGUGUGACUUUUGAAGCUGAGUUACAAGCAGCCUUGGAGAGUCUUUCUAGACCUCGUGGAGGGCUCACUCUGGGGGAAGCCAACCAGCAUGUAAGGAGCAUAACUGCCCUGAGACCGCCGUGUUGUUAGGAUGCCCAGCUAGCUAUGUGGAGAAGCUGCAUAGACUGAGGGAGAAGCCCAGCUAGUCUCCAGUUAUUCCUGCCACCCUAACUGAGGCACCAGACCCAUGAGCAAAGAAACCAUCAUGGAUGUCCUGUCCCAUCCAGCUUCUGUGACUGUAACUGUAUGAGGACCCCAGUGAAAACCACGCAGCUGAGCCUAGUCAACACACAGAGCUAUGGAAG